rnacentral:misc_RNA from 1 species
ACACCUCAACUCUCAUGGCUUGCCAUGAUGAGCUUGGACUUUGGGGGUCUUGCUGGCCUGUGGUCAGCUCCUCUCAAAUGAAUCAGCUUGCCAGUGUUUGGUGGCAUCACAGGUGUGAUAACUAUCUACGCUCGUGGUUUUCCAUCAUGUAACCUUCAGUGAUGAAGGUUCACUGGGGCUCAUAAAUGUCUCUCCUCAACGAGGAGACAGCCCUUUGAAC